UACGAAGGGGGCUAGCGUUACUCGGAUUGAGCUGGGCGUAAAGGGCGCGUAGGCGGACAGUUUAGUCAGAGGUGAAAGCCCAGGGCUCAACCUUGGAAUUGCCUUUGAUACUGGCUGUCUUGAGUACGGGAGAGGUGAGUGGAACUCCGAGUGUAAGAGGUGAAAUUCGUAGAUAUUCGGAAGAACACCAGUGGCGAAGGCGGCUCACUGGACCGGUACUGACGCUGAUGCGCGAAAGCGUGGGGAGCAAACGG
rnacentral:rRNA from 1 species